rnacentral:rRNA from 1 species
UACGAGGGGGGCGAGCGUUGUUCGGAAUUAUUGGGCGUAAAGGGUGCGUAGGCGGCCUGACAAGUCUGAUGUGAAAUCCCUGGGCUCAACCCAGGGCCUGCAUCGGAAACUGUCGGGCUUGAGUAUGGGAGAGGUGAGUGGAAUUUCCGGUGUAGCGGUGAAAUGCGUAGAUAUCGGAAGGAACACCUGUGGCGAAAGCGGCUCACUGGACCAUUACUGACGCUGAGGCGCGAAAGCUAGGGGAGCAAACGGG